rnacentral:rRNA from 1 species
AAACCCAACCGGGAUUGCCUCCAGUAACGGCGAGUGAAGCGGACAAGAAGCUCAAAUUUGAAACUGGCCCCUUCCGGGGUCCGCGUUUGUAAAUUUGCAGAAGGAUGCUUCGGGUGCGGCCCCCUGUCCUAAGUGCCCUGGAACGGGCCCGUCAGAAGAGGGUGAGAAUCCCGUCUUGGGCAGGGAUGCCCGUGCCCUGUGUUGAAGCUCCUUCAC